rnacentral:rRNA from 1 species
GACGAACGCUGGCGGCGUGCCUAACACAUGCAAGUCGAACGGAAACGCCCUGCUUUUUUGGGCUGCUGGGGGGGCGGAGGGGGAAGUAACACGUAAGUAACCUACCCUUCACUUUGGGGUGAGUUAAGGAAGGUGAAGCUAAUCCCAUAUAGGAUCUCCCGCUGCAGGGUGGGCGUGGGAUAGUUUCGGCGGUUGGGGAUGGACUGGCCGCUUAUGGGCUUGUUGGUUGGGUAGUGGCUGACCAAGGCUUUGAACGGUAGCCGGCCUGAGAGGGUGACCGGCCACGUUGGGCCUGAGAUACGGCCCAGCCUCCUACGGUAGGCAACGGUGGGGAAUAUUGUACAGUGGGCGGGAGCCUGAUGCAGCAACGCCGUGUGCGGGAUGACGUCAUGCUGGUAGUGAACCGCAGUCGCUUGAGACGAAGCGUUAGUGACGGUAACGGGAGAAUAAGCACCGGCUAACUACGUG